UACGUAGGGUGCGAGCGUUAAUCGGAAUUACUGGGCGUAAAGCGUGCGCAGGCGGUUUUGCAAGCCGGAUGUGAAAUCCCCGGGCUCAACCUGGGAAUGGCAUUUGGGACUGCAAGGCUCGAGUGCGGCAGAGGAGACUGGAAUUCCUGGUGUAGCAGUGAAAUGCGUAGAGAUGUGGAGGAAUACCGAUGGCGAAGGCAGCCUCCUGGGCCAACACUGACGCUCAUGCACGAAAGCGUGGGGAGCAAACAGG
rnacentral:rRNA from 1 species